UCAGUAAAAAGAGGAGGAUUGGCAGCACAUGUUAGCUCAGGGCUAAGCUUCCUCCAAAAAAAAAAAAAAGUCAUCACUUUUCCUAAGACCCAGUAAAUAUCAAUUUCUCUUUUAGUUUUCUAUUAUUUUAUUAGAUUUAUAAAAGGCAAUAUACGCAUUGAUCCAACAGAAAAUAUUUUUGUGCAUAAUGUGAGGUAUAUCUCUACAUUUUGUUUUUUUGCCAAAUUUUUAACUAUUAAUGGUGUGAAAGAUUUUUAUAACAAUCAGAGCUGUCCAGAAAUGAAAUGGUUUGCUAUUUCUAGAGGAAGGACCAUAUACUGGGCACUUGCCUUAUUGUGGGGGUCGAGUUUCAAAUGGGUUGAAUUGGAAGAUAUUUUAAGAAUUCUUUUGAAUUUGAGGUUCAGGAGAAAGACGAGUUUAGCAGAAAAAUUAAAUAUGUUUAUUUCUUAUUUAGGGAGAUUUCCUAAGAAGAAUAACUCUUCAUUGCUGUCCAAAUGUCCAAUAGCAGAAGAUUGCGAUGAAAGAUGGAUCUACUGCAUGGAAAUGGUCUCACUUUGGCACGAGAGGCCUCUGUCCAUACCUGUAUCCUAGUUAAGCAGACAAUCUCCGGGCUGUGCAAGUAGAGACUGAUGCUCCCGUUAUAAUAAUUUGCUUUGGCAAGAAAUCUCAUUCUGUAUUUACUUUUCUUCUUGUUGUGGUUCAUUUAAACAUCUGUUCUUGUGACAUGGGAGUUUUCCAGAUGGAUGUGUGUUUGUCACUCUGUCAGAAAAAUCUAAUUUUAUAAAUAAAGGAAGUAGCAUAAUGGCCCAAGUGUUCUUUAUUUCCCUCUACACCCUGAUAUUAAUGAGAAAAAUCCCUUGGAAUGAAUGCCAUCUCUACAUUAAAGCUAACCACCAUCAGUCCUCCCUUUUUCAUAACAUGACCUUAUUACAAUCAGGCCAAUUGUUCUCAGACUUUCUCAGCACACAGUCCAUUGUUCCUCCUGCUAGGGAUAGACUUCUCUUCCUUGCAAUACAUUUAAAGUCCAUUCAUUUCAGACCUAACCCAAGACUUCUUUAGUUAUUCUAUAAAGAUCUUUUACUGAGGGCAGUGCAUUUAUAAUAGAAAGAACAAGGACUUUAAUGCUAGGUGGUUCCAUGUUUGAUUUCCGGAUCCACUGCUGACUCAGGGAGAGUCAUUGGGCAAGUUACUUAAUCUUUCUGAAUCUCAAGAGUGGUUCUCUACCUUUAAAAUUCUUAUUUUGCAACCUAAUAAUCUUGUGGUUUUAGAUAUUAACUAUUGAUAUGGCAGAUGAGAAUGAAGCUUGCCUUUAUAGUGCCUCAUCAUCCUCAACACUCUCUGUCUGCCUAUGCUGCCUAUUUCUGUUAUUAUAGUUACAUCACAAUUUUAGUCAGAUCGGGAUGAGACUUAAGAUAUACUGUAGUUGUUUCUCCUUCCAAGAAGGAGUUGUUAAAUGUCCUUUUAACUUUUUUAUUUAGUUUUAUGUGUACUUAUCAGUAACUCAAGCCCCAAAUAUCCAUCAAAUGUCCAAAUGACACGCUCAUAUUUUUAAAGGAUUCUCUCUUGGAGCUUUCUGACCUGCUCAAAUUGGGGUGAAUUGCCCUCUGCGCCCGGUGCACAACUCUUCUCCUCUGAUCUCUACCUCUGCUGCCAUCGUAAAUAUUUCCUCUGCCUCUUUCCAGGCUUGAUUUUCUGUUUCCUGCACCACAUGUCUCUGUUUUCUUUUGAUAGAGCUUCUUUUCCAUUAAUUUUCUAAGCCUGGGUUCAUGGAGGUAACUUUGUUCCUACUUAAAUGUCUGAUGAAUUUUGUACUCCACUCUCAGGGUAGUUGAUAGUUUUGCAGGGUAAAGAAUUUUCCAUUGGAAAAAAUUUCCCUUCAGGAAAUGGAUUUAGUGCUAGUCUAUGCCAAACAAAGUUGAGAUGACAGAAAUUCUUUUGUGAAACAUAGAAGAAGGUAUUCAAAAUCAUAGAGAGAUAAGAAUGUUGGAGGAAUUUAUGUUCAUUUUGCCCAAGAGGGACAGAAGACGUUAUCUUCAUUCAGCUAUUAGAUAUAAAUUAGUGAGAAGGGCACAAGAAUUUUUGAAAAGCUCUGUAGAUGACUUAUGCUGGGGAUGCAGUUGGGGUGUGCAUAUUUGACAUUAUCACUGGAAUGGGCUCCUUGAUUUUAAUGCAGAUGUUGAGAUUCCACAGGAGUAGAGGCCAAACAAUGUUACUUAUAUGCCAGAAGCAAGAUGAAUAUAGUUACUCUACUAGCUGGUCUGGCCUACAGUAAUCUUUGAUGUUGGUUAAGUGCUCAUGGAGUCCUGGGAUCAAAAUAGUGGUCAGAGCACUGAAAUCCCACUUAGUCUCUAUUAAAACAAUAUAAAACUUGAGGUUUUCUGACUAGAAGCAUGACUUUCAGCCUUGAGUCAUGUCACAGAGCUGAAUAAAGGAUAUAGUCACCACUGAAACAAUAUCUUGUGUCGAUAUCACACAUACUUAUUUAAAUCUUCCUUUUAGCCUUCCACAAAAAGAUGUGUGUCUAUUGGGCAGUGAGGAAAGUGAAAUAGCCAGGCUUUUGGAGGGUUAUUGGACAUAGAUUGAGCCUAAGAGCAAUUCCUUGGAGCCAAAACGUCACUAUGAUCUACUAGUUACACAGAUGUUAGAGGACAAAUGAAAUUUUGUUCAAAGACCAUUGGGUCCAGUGAGUCCCCAAAGCUAUGUUAUGAUUACUCCCUUAGUUCCUGUGUGGAUAAUUUGAUGAGAUGCAUCCAGAAAAUAGCAGAUUGCCCAAUCUUUCCUGGAAACAUGCUGUUAAGACUGCUAUAGUGGGAAUGGCAAAGGGGAAGCCUGUGGAACAUGCACCCUAAUAAAAUGAUGUCAAAAGCAAUGCCACAUCACUGGGAGGACUUCCAGAAAUGAGAGCCAUCAUCAAGAACUUAGCCACAGCAACGAUGAUUUCUAGGAUCUCUCCACUAAACUUCCUUGUUCAGUUUCUGUAGGAGACAGAUGGGUAGAUCUUAGGGAAUGAUAAUGAAUUAUAAUAUUUAUAAGCAUCUCAUGACUCCAUUCAGCUGCUCUUCCAUAUGGUUCUCUUUAGUGGGGCAAAUUAACAUACACCUGGAAGUCAGUUUGCUCUGUAGCUAUCAAUAUAGCAUUUUUUGGUUUCUAUUCCAACAAGUAGAGAUCACCAGAAGAAAUUUGCUUUCACAUGGUAGGGAUAAAUGUAAACUUUCACCUUUAUCUUUGCCAGUCUUCUAACUCUAUGUGAUAAUUUUCAUCAUUUCAUCAUCCCUUAGGAUAUCACACUGGUCUAUUUUUAACAUCCUAUCAUCUUUUAGGAUAUAAUGCUUUUAUGUUACAUCAGUAAUGCUACGGGGGCCAAAUGGUAGUAAUAAAAUUAAUGUUUUGGCAAUACCUACAUUUCAAAGAGGAUGUAAGAUAUAUUACACAAAAUUCAGGGAUCUGUUGCUUAAAAUUUCUGGGGGUUCAGUGGUCUGGAGCUUGUUGAGAGUCUCCUACACAGUGAAAGUCUACCAGGGGUGCUCUUUAUUCUAUACUAAUAAGGAAGAGAUGCAAUAGUUUGUGGACUUAUUUGGGUUUUGGAUUAAUAUAUAACACAUGUGGAUAUGUGGCUCCGACAUGUUUAUCAAGUGAAUGGCUUACAAAACUGUUUACAAAUAGUGAGGCCAGAGCAAGAGAAGGCGUUCCAUCAGAUCUAGGCUGUAGUACAAGCAGUUCCUGCCCUUGCCCUUAUGAAGAAACAGAUCCAACGGGGCUGUGAAAUCUUUGGCAGACAGAUAUAUUGUAAAAAGCACAGACAAGCCCAAAUAAGAGAACUACGGUAGAGGCCACUAAGGUUCUACUGCAAAGUGAUGUUUUCUUCAGCUAACUGUUCUUAGCUUGUUACUGGUCAAAGGUAGAGACUGCAAGCGUGUAACUGCAAUCAAUCUGAACUCCUAAAAUGAACUGUUCCUACCUUGUUUUCCCAGGAUAAAGUCAGAUAUGCUGAACUGUUAGUUCUCCAUCAACAAAUUGAAGUGGUAAACACAAAAUCCAGAGUUAUCCGAUUCUGAAAGCACGAGAAAGUCGCAUGAGUAAGUGACUGAUCUCUAGCAUACCUACUGCUAUGGCUCAGCUUCUGACGCCCCAGAGUGGCCUUAUGGGGGUGUUCCUAUGAAUAAUCGGCCAAGGCGGAGGGACAAUUUGAGUCUGCUUUAAAGAUGGUAAAUAAAUUGCUGGCAUCAUAUGGCAGAGGACUAGUUUACUGUACAGCCUAUCUGAGGGGCAGCAUUGAAGGGAAAGAAAGAGUCUCCCGGUGAGAAGAACUACGAAGCUACAGCAAUUCGUGCGCAGUGACUGAUGACUACCUUGACCAGUCUGAGAUUUAGAAAGAAGACAGGAGGACUGGUGACAAAUUGCUUUAGGGAGGAGAAAUAUGGAUGGGCCUCUUGGAAUGGGUCCAAAGGAUGAGAACAUUGUAUGAGAAUAUGCCCUGGGUGAAAAGUCAUCAGAAGGACUCUUCUGUGGAGGAGUCUUUGAAUAAUCACUUAGGUGAGAUUACCCUGUGGAUGUCAAUCACAUCUUUUCUCACGCAAUCCAGUGCUUAUUUAAUAGGCUCGUGAAUGAAGUGGUCAUAAUGACUGAGACUGAGGUCACGCAUGGAUUUGACAACAUGGAAUCCCCCUCACUGCAGCUGGUCUGGCUACGACUGUCACUGGGAGACCAGCUUGUCAAAAACAGCAACAGAACUUGAGCCCUUGCUUCCUGACAGAUGUACAUCACUCUUCAUGACACAUCUUUCUGUGGAAUCUCCAUCUCAACUAAACUCACAAGGCCUGUCAUUCUAACAUAACCAUCCAAAGCCAGUUUUUCGUAAAGGUAAACAUAAUGUAUGACUUGGUAAAUUGAUAAAUGUGCAUAUUUUGUCUGCUGUAAUGAUCCCUGGAUGUAUGAAAUGCCAAAAUCAGAGGAUCCUUUAGUUUAAAAUGAAAACUCAAAGGCACUCAAGAAACGUAAUCAGUUCAGGCAUAUCUGUCACUUACGCCUUAGUGUGAAUGCUUUCUCUAUGACCUUUUCCCAAAGAGUAAGAUUAGAUGGUUAUAGAAGAGAAGGCAUUGGGCAAAGAGAGGUAGGUACAGCACAUUAGUGUCAGCUCAAUCUUUUACUAAUUCCAUGUGGCAAAAGAAAUGAGAAGGAAUGCUAGUGUAUAAAAAAAGACUAUUUUUCUGGUCCCAACCAUGCCAACUCAAUUUUGUCCAGAGCCAGCCAAUUACCACUCUCCUUUCGCCAAACUGCCUUGUCAGAUAGCUCUUCAUAUUUCAGCAAAUACGUAAUGGGAUAAUAAAUCAGUUGAGUGAUUCCAGCAUUAAACUAAUCAGAUACCUGCUCCCUGAAAUGGAUAUCUUGAAGAACUACCAGAAGGAUGAAGAGGAGAAGUUUUCAUAUUAUUGCCACCUUUCUCUUUCAUUUAGUCAUCUUUGUAUGGGAAGGGCCACCAAUAUUCUUUUUCCAGUUCCCUAAUGUAAGUCUCUUGAGAGCUCUACUAUACAUUCUGAUUUUAGUCCUGAAUUUUACUUAAAGAUUUACCUUGCUUUUCAAUGGGAAAGCUAGGUAUCUUGUCUCGAAUGUGCUUUCCUUGGAUAGGAUAGAUAAGCAGGCAGAGGAUUAUGUGUGAGUUCCGAAAAUUCUUGGCUAAAGAUAAUUGGAACAUUCACUUUUGAAAUAUCAAUGUUAUCUGGAAACGUAAAAUGGGCACUAAGAUUUUGAAGUAUAAGGAUUUCAAUUAUUAUCAAUUCAAAAAUAUAGCUCUUAGUCAAGGUCUUGGAUGAUUUGUGUAACUAUUUAAAAAAAUUAUACCUUCUUAUUUUAGUAGUUCCUGAUUGUUAAGAAUUUGAUUUUGCCCAUGUUUGGUCAAGUUGAUAAGUUUCUAAGAAUUCUUCGACAUUCCAGGCUUAUUGUUUGUUCGAGGCCUGCCAAGUCACUGACCACAUAAGGCUGCUCAUGGCAAAGUGUUUGCUUCAAUAUUUAGUAUCAUAUUCUUAAAUGGACCAGAAGGAUCAGCUGGAGAACACAAGAUACUUGGCAGAUAUUUCAACUAGCACUAUAAAAACAAGGAUAAAAACUUGACCAGGUAUAGGAUGAUCAGUAAUGAGGCCGUCAAACUGAUACAGGUGUGAUUUGAGUAGGGCCCAAAUAAAACCCUUAGUCAGAUUUCUGUGGCCACAAUAAUGCAACAUAAAAAUAUUUAUUUAGCUUACAAGCCUGCAGGUCAAUGAUUUAGCCUUGGCUCAGCUGGCAGUUCUCCUUGCUUUGACUGACUCAUUCACAUGUCUGGCUAUCAGCUGGAGUGAUGGAGCCACUGGGCUGCUACAUGUCUGUUAUCCUCCAGCAGGCUAGCCUGGGCAGAUUCUCAUGGCAAAGGCAGAGGAGUGAGAGGGAGAACAAGAAAAUAUACAUGGCCUCUUUAGGUCAAGGCCCAGACCUAGCACACUAUUCACUUCUGUUACAUUUUAGUGGCCAGAAUAAGUCACAAAGCUAGCCCAGAUUCAAGGCAUAAGGAAAGAGACUUCACCUCCUGAUGGGAGAGGUUGCAAAAAGGUGAUGAAUUGGACUACCAAUGCAAUAACUCUGCCACCAAGCCCUGAACUCCAAGAACUAAACACCCUAUCCCUGAGCUCCUACAUAGUUACAGAUCAGUCCAGGUGAUUGUGAACUAGAAUGAUCCAGGCCAGACUGGCCUAAAACAUGAGAUCUAAUUGUAGGUUAUUCUCAGUACAGAGUAGAUAAGCAGGUGCGUCUUUUAGAUUUAUAAUGGUGACAGACAAUAACCAGAGAGAACCAGGGAUUUAUGUGUAUGCUAUCAUGAAUAUGAAUAUGCUAUGUUUGUGUACCAAGCCUCGGUGGUGUCCCUGCUGCUGUCUCUGUGGGCUCACAGAGUGCACCAGCUUUGGGAUCAUGGCUGCCUCCACCUAGAAUUCCAAAGGAUACACUGGGCGCUGUACCUCACUUCAGGAGAAUUGUGGGCGCGGGACCCCAGCUUUGGUAGAGGGUCCAAGCAGAGAGUUGAGGCAGAACUUUUUGGCCAAGCCAGAGGGACAAGACUGCCCAGAGCCUUGGGUGUUAACCACUGCCUUGCAAAACUGCAUGGGCAGGAUCCUUGCCCUGGGAGGUCUGGAAGGCAGAGCACUGAGCCAAAGAGGAUUGUUCUUGAACCUUAAGGUCUAAUAGAACUCGCCCAGUCGGAUUUGGACUUUCUCGGUACUGUCUCUUCUUUCUUAUUUCCUAAUUCUCCCUUUUGGAAUGGGAUUGUCUGCCCUAGGCCCAUCCUAUCAUUGUGUUUUGGAAGCAUAUAACUUGUUUAAUUUCAUGGGUUCACUGCUAGAGAGCAAUCUGCCUCAGGGCGAAUCAUAUCUUGAGUCUUACCCAUGUCUGAUUUAGAUGAUGUUUAGAUCAGAACUUGGACUUAGAUUUAAAGUUGAUGCUGGAAUGAGUUAAGACUUUUGGGGCUAUUUAGAUGGAAUAAAUCUAUUGGGUAUGCAAGAAGGACAUGAAAUCUGGGGGGCUAGGAGCAGAAGGCUAUGCACUGAAUGUUUGUGUCCUCCCCAAAUUCAUAUGCUGACCUUAAACCCCAAUGUGAUGGUGUUUGGAGGUGGGCCUUUGGGUGGUGAUUAGGUAAGGAAGGUGGAGCCCUCAUGAAUAAGAUUAGUGCCCUUAUAAAAGAGGCGGUAGAGAGCUCUCUUGUCCCUUUUAUCAUGUGAGGACACAGCAAAAAGAUGGCCAUCUAUGAACCAAGAAGCUGGCUCUCACUAGACUCUGAAUCGGCUGACGACUUGAUCUUGGACUUUCCAGCCUCCAGAAAUAAGAAAAAUAAAUUUAUGUUGUUUAUAAGCCACCCAGUCCAUGGUAUUUUGUUAUAGUAGCCCGAAUUCAGAAAGAGUUAUAUUUAUUAAAAAUCCUAACAAUUGAACAUAAUGAAAAUAUGUUGAUCUUUCAAAUGGUCUUGCUCAAAGGGAAAGAGAAUUGAAAAUUGGACUUUCAGAGAAGAGGAUUUUCUGGAGUCUAUAGUUAUAUUAGUUUCACACAGUGCUUUAAGUCAGCACACUGGUCAGAAAUGCCUUAUGUCUCCCAUCAUGUUGGUAAAGAUGAUCAAUUACAACAAUUUUCAAAAAGUCUUUAUUGGGAUUGUAAUGUCGGUAUACUUGAGAGAUACAUUUUUCAAAAAAGGUGUAUUAGAUACCUUUUACUCACUAAGCAGUGCUAGGCACUGAGCUUAUAAAGUCAAACGAAAGGACAGAGAAGGAAUGUAUCAUUCACACAAAUAAAAGAAGUGCUGGAUAUUUCCAUGGGAUAUGCUGUUUUCCACGCCUCUUCACUUCUAUUAACAUACACUGUCUCCCUGUUAGCAUACACCCUCUCUCGGCUAUAGUGAUUUGGAGGGCAUAAGACAUUUCUGAUCAGUGUGGUGAUUAUAAUGCACUGCUUGAAAUAAAUAUAAUUAUACAUUCCAGAAGAUCUUCCCUGAAAGUCCAUGUAUAUUUCUUUCAAGUUCAAGUAAAUAGCUCUAUAUAGCAAAAAAGGCAGCCUGGAAGUGGAGUCCAUCCACCAGCUACUUAUUCAUCUGAUCUUGCUAGCUGCUAUCCCUUUCCCUGACUCAUCUAAUUUCCUACUAGAUUUAUGUGGUUAAAGGAUUAACAACAUAUCUGAGUGGCUUAUUUUAGCCAUCCAAUUUUUCAGUUCUUCCUUAGCUUGGGUUUUGUUUAAUGCUGUCUUCAUAUCAGUUCAUUAAGUUAUUUGGUGAAUUCUAACAUUGCAAUAUUUUUUGAACAUAAAAAGCUAUUUUCUCCAGCAGAUAUUUCAUUUCUAAUAUAACAUGUAAACAGUCUUUAUUUUUGGCUUUUUUAGUAGUGCUAUUACAAAUUGCAGCUUGUAAUUUUGACUCUUUUCCCCAAAUAAAUCUUUGAAAUAAAUUGGUGUACUGUUUCUCAAGCUUACACCCUACAACCCUGACAUUUGAAUCACUGCAAAAAUAUACAACCAUGUACCAGGGGGAUUUGGGGACAAGAAGGAAAAAAAAAAAAGAUUGGCAACAGAUGUUAGCUCAGGGCCAAUCUUUAUCAAAAAAAACAUAUUUUUUUUCAGGGCUUCCCAUUUAAGUAAUAUUUUCCCACAUGACACUUAUCUGAGGAAGGCAAAAGAAGCCAAAGCGUGCCAGGUCAGACCUGCUUGACUUAGGAAAUUUCUGCAAAUUAGACAGAUGAUAUUCAUUAUCUCAGAGUAUUUUUUCAAGAAGUAGCAUACCACAACUGACUAUUAACCCUCAGACAUAUAAUCAUUCUAGGAAUCAAAUUGCUUCCAAUUUGAUGGAUUUUAUCUUUUCAAUGAUCAGAAUGUUAUUGUUUAUUCCAGAAUCAUCUGACGCUGAAGAAAUUUUGAAGGGUUAUCAUUGGACUUUGAUGGAAUUAGAAGCCCACUGAUUUGUUCAUAAAACCUCAAGACUAGUUUGAAAACAGUACAGACUUGGUUAAUAAAACCACCGAGAAAAGAGCAUAUGGUUAUAUUAGUUAGUGGGUUCUAGGAAUAGCAUUCACUCAUUUAACAAGUAGUUGUAAUCUCUGUACAUGCAGAAACAUCUUGAACGUGGCUCAUUUUGAGCAGUGUGUUCCCCCUCUUGUAGAAUAUAUCUCAUGAAACCAUGGGCACAAAACAGAAUUGACUUAUAAUUUUAGGCAGCUAAUUUCUUAAUAUAUUUCUGAUGUUUGAUUUCCAGAAACUGAUAUGCUGUCUGGAUGGAAUACGAUUACUGAUCACCUGUAUUUUGGUGGUUAACUUACUUUAACAACAAAAAAAUGUGAUUCUCCCUUUUCUCUUGAGCCAUUUCAAGAAAGGUACCAUUGCAAGUAUAAGGGAAGACCUUUUUCAAACUAAUUUUUGUUGUUUACUUGGAUAUAGUCAGACUGACAAGUGACUUACUUGAGGCUGUAGAAUUUGUGCCCUUUGAAAAAAACUUUCCUGCAUUACUGAAAGAAAUGCAGGCUGCUGGCUUCUCCCUAGUCCCAUAGCACGCUGAGCAUGUCUAGCCCCUUUCUCUUUUUCUGAGGUAUUCUAGCUCCAACCUACAUAAUUUGAUUCAAGUACAAAAAUUAAGUGGGUUUACCCAUCUGGUUAAGGUUCUGAAAUUGUGUGUGGAUAUAUUUGUGUGUGUACUGUGUUAUAUGUGUAAUAUAGAUACACAUAUAUAUGACAUCAGUCAUUGACUAACUUUUCUGUGAUCUUGGCAUAAGUUUCAAGCAACAAAAUCAUACAUUCUAGGUAAUUCUUGUGGUCUCAUGUUUCUGGCAUAACCAUGGGCUUUUGAAAAGGACAGACCUGUUCUUGAAUCCCACUUCCAGCACUUGCAAAUUAAAUCGCGUUAGGCAGAUAUGAUGGGUAAUUUUAUGUGUCAACUUAUCUGGGUCAUGGGAUGCCAAUAUAUUUGGUCAAAUACUAUUCUGGAUGUUUCUGUCAGAGUGUUUUUGGAUAAGUUAGACAUUUAAAUCAAUAGACUAAGUAAAGCAGAUGGCCCUCCGUAGUGUGAGUGGGCCUCAUCUAACUAGUUGAAGGCCUGAAUAGAAUGAACUCCUGAAUAAGAGAGAAUUCCUCUUGCCCCACAGCAUUAGAGAUGGGGCAUUGUUUUUUUUCCCGCCUUCAGACUUGCUCUAAACCCCCUGCUCUUUCUGAGUCUUGAACCUCUUGGCCUUUGGACUAGAACUACACCAUCGACUGUCUUGGGUCUCCAUCUGGCUGACUACAGAUCUUGGGACUUGUCAGCCUCCAUAAUCAUGUGAUCCAAUUUAUCAUAAUAAUCUCUUUUCAUAUAUAUAUAUAUUUGUAUAGGAUAUAUAGAUCCUAUUGGUUCUGUUUCUCUGGAGAACUCUAAUAUAGUAGGUUACUCAAUCUUUUGCAACCUUGAUUUCAUUACAUGUGAAAUAGGAAUAAUAAUACCUAUUUAAUAAGAUUGUUGUAAGGUUUAUGAGAUUAGGAGGGCAAAGGUAUCCUGCACAAAGUAGGUGUUUAUUAAAUGGUAACUGCUGUUAUUAUAAUGAUUAUUUUUCAGAGCACAUAACCUUUAGACCCUAAUCUUGGAAGACACAGUUUUAGUUAGUCCAAUUUUUUCUUAUUUCCAACCUUUCCUUCCAGCUGCAGGAAGAUAGCCCUUCCUGCAGUUAAGUUCCUUUAAUUUCCACCCACUUACUGAGGAUGGAUUUGGUUGACUGUUAUUUGUGGAGACCAACCAGUUUCUUCUGCAUCACACAGCUAGCCAGAGAACUGGAGUUUUUGAUCUCAGCACUUCCAAACACCAGCUGCUCUGCUGAGCAAGCUUUUCACCACAUUUCACAUUCCUAUAGUGCAUGCUUUCUGAGAAAUCUUCAGGAAAGAGGAGAUCCUUGAGCUAACUUUUGAAUGCCAUUCUCAGCAAAGGGCUGAGAACACAGCAUGUUUAGAGAAGUCAGAGCAGAGGGUGCCUGAGUGUAGGCACAAAGUGGGCAUGAUACUGGAAAAGGAGCUUUGAAAAUGUGCAACUUGAGGUCUCUAAGCUAAUACAUAGAAAUGUUACCCUGGAGUCCUGCAGUUAUUGAGGAGGUCAUCAGAGUAAGUUAAGCAGGAAUGACAUGAUGAGAUUUGUGUCAGAAUGUGUAGUGAAUGAAUUGGAAGGGAAUUAAGCUGGAAACUAGUAGGUCAAUUAGGAAAUAUUCCAAUAAAUGAUAAGAAAAGUGAAGAAGUGCUAUUUAGGAAGUGUUUGUGACUGUGGAGAGCAGGGAAUAGCUUUGAAAGAUAUUAAGGAUGUUCAAUGUAGGGCAAAUGAGUGAUUGGGAAGAGUUAUUAAAUGAGAUAAUUAAUACAGGAGGAGGAGUGGCUUCUGCGACUAAGAGAGUCCCCAGUUGGCCUGAGACCCUGCUUUAUCAGGAGAGUUUUGGCAGAUAACGUGCGCCUUAUGAGAACUUAGCCUACUAUAAAGAUUUCUAGGAGAAAUCCAGUUGAUGGCUUUCCUAACUUGUGAAGUAGAGGGAUACUCUCCUAUCUUAUGGAAUAGGGCGUAUUUGCCUUUGCAAUCUUUUGGUACUCGAAUUGCACAGUCUGUGAGUGACUGCUAGGUAUAGAGAGUCUUGAUGGACUCUAACGCAUAUUUGGUUCAAAUUCAUUGUUAUACAGCAGGUAAAUUUUUUCUGAUAUUGAAAAUGAGAACUUCACUUAAAAAUAUUAUGUUAAUCAAAUAAACAGAUCAUUCCAGUGUGUUGUGGCACGCCUAUGUGUACCUGUUCAGUUUGCAUAUUCUGUACAUACUCAAUAAAAAAACAGCGCCAUCUGCCAUGAUACACCCAGGAAAGCUAAUUAUUUUUGUAGGCGUCGAAAUGGAUACAUAUUUAGCUUUGUCUUUGCGUGUAUUUAUGAUUAAAUGUUAUUGAGCAUUAAAAAAUAAAACCCUUCAUGGCUUUUUUCCUAAAAUCUAAUACAGCAUGAUAUCAAACUUAAUACCUUAAUUGCAAACUAACAAGAGCUGCUUUUACAAUUGCUUCAACGUUUGUAAGGUUAUGACUCAUGAACAAAUUACUUUCAUGGUUUGGUUGCAUUUAUAUAAGACAGGGUGUGAAUUUUAAAAAUGGAUCAACAAGAUGGGACAGAUUUAGGUGUGUACAUAUUUAUGUAACAUGUUUAAAUAUGGGCAUAGAGAAGCAGAAAAACAAAUACUUCUUUUGGAAUAUUCAAUACUUAAAGCAGAAUUUGUGCACUAUUGUAUUAGUAAACAUUUAAGGAAAAUUGGCAUCAGAUAGGAUCGUGGCCAAGAACCCUUUAGUAGAGUAAGUUGAAAGCUAGUGGCACCUUAAAUCCUUGAGGAAAUAUGGAAUAAUGCCACUUGCAGAUCUUUCAUUUAUAAUAGAUGGAAUCCAAGCUCAUUACAAAUGGUAGGCUCACAUCUAGCAAUAUGCUUCGCUCUCAGGAGAUGUUUUAAUUCACUCUCGUGAUUGUCAGUCAUACUAUUUGCCCUGUUCUGUGCUGAUUUGCCUUUUUGCAAAUAUAGCCCUGUUAUUGUUAUGCAUUUUACCCACAUCUGAGUCUUGUAUCCCUCAGAUAGAUUUUAAGAACAGACACUAUGCCUAAUGCAAUUCUUAUGUACAGCUGGCUCCGAGAGGGCUGACAAGUCUUAAGUAACUCUUCCCAGAACAUUUAACAAGGAGCAAAGCCCUGAAUCUUUUCUAGGGUUCUGAAACCAUACCAAGUGUCUCCUAACCAGCUCCGCCUGUGGGUAAGGCAAGCCUGCUCACAGGCAAUCGGAGCAAGUUCAGAAUUGUGCAGUAAAUAGAAGGCAAUGCAUUGUCAUUUAUAUUACAGGGAAAUUGAUCUUAUUAAGAGAUUAACAGUAGUACAAAAGAUAACUCCUAGAGGCUUAAGAAUUUUCUUUUAAAAUGUAUCUGUAAGGAGGAGCCUAGAAAAAAGAAUUAUUAUCCAACUAACAAGGCAUUUAGGCCGGAGUGAGGGGAGACUUAUGUAACAAAGGAGCUCAGACACACUACACAGACGUAAACAUUCCUAGUAAACAUUUCUAACUUUCCCUCUCUUCUCUCUUUCUCUCUCUCUACACACGUUUAUGCAUUUAUUAUGCUAUAUAUUAUUAUUGUGCAAUUUAUAUAUACAUUUAUGCAUAUAUAUAAAUGCACAUGUUUAAUUCUAAUUCUUUACAUAGGCUAAGUCAAAUAAAAGCCUCAUCAUUUUCCACUUUUACUCUCUUUCUUGAGAUAUUCUAUUACUAAUAAUUCAGAGAUCAGAUCAAAUUGUCACAGGUUAAUUUAGAAUUUCUGGGAUUCCAACUUUAUGGUUAGAUAAUCAGCCCCAUCUUUUGGGAGCUUUUAGAGAGAACAGCUUCUUCUUCCCCAGAAGUACCUAGGAAAGGAAUAUAAUACAAACACUCUUGCCCUGGGCUCUGGCAUUCUCUGGGUUCCCCGUCAUUCCUGUGCAGUUCUCGGAGACAAUGAUGCUGCCCUUCUUCCUUUGGCUUAUGGCUAUUUCUCUCAGCAUUUCUAGAGGGCAGCUAACAUCAGUGCUCUCAGGUGCAGAAUCACAAGCUUCUUUCAAGGGCUAAUUCUGCAGUGAAGUUUCUCAGAAUCCUUGAUGAUUGUCUAGAGGGUAUAAAUUCUCCUGACGACUGCAGAAUAUUAUCCAAAUGAUCCCUUAAAAUAUCUUCACAGGUACUGCAUUGCAAAGCUAUGCAAACUGGAAGUGUCCAAAAGCUGGUACCCAUACUGAGCAAGAAUCCUGAGACUUUUCAUAUGUCCCUGCCAUAAAUCUGUGAGGCAUUAUGGACAGCACCUCUUUUCUCUCUUAUAGCCACAUAUCCAAUCCUGUUCAUUCCAACUUCUUAGCAAUCUCUUCAAUCUCCUCUUCAUCCCAAGCCCUUUACCAGAGCUGAGCCACCUUCUCUCAUGUGCGUGUUGUAAAAACCUCAUCUUUGAUCUCCCCACAGGUACCACUGAUCCCUCUGAUCAUUCUUCAUUCAAUAGCCGAGGUAACUUUAUAAUAGUUCAUGCCUUAUUAUAUUCUUUUUCUAGUUAAAAUCUUUCCAAUGACUUCUGCUUGCUCAUAAGAUAAAUCCCAAAUCCCAGUGUGGUCUAUAAGGCCCUAUCUGGUGUGAAACCUGCUUACCUGAAUAACCUCAUCUCUUGUAAUGCUCUCUCUUGAACUGUGAUCUCUGGCCAUUUUCCAAUAUUUUCUUCCUGUCUGCCUCAGGAUCUUCACACAUGCUCUUCCGACUUUGGGAAUUACUUUUCCGCACCCCUCCAUCAACUUUUUUAUUCAGCUUCCUGCUACUAAUCCUUCACAUUUUAACAAAAAUAUCCCUUCUUCAGGGAGUCCUUCACUGACCCCAGUUCACACCGUCUGAAUUGCCAGUUAUAUACUCUCAGCACAAUAUACUUUAUAGACCAAUAAUCAUUGACAUUAGUUGUUUUAUACUUCUCCUUUAGACUUCAAGCUCCAAAUGAGCACGGACUGUAUCUUGUUCUUGUUUUAAAUGUUUACAUCAUUGCUUUUCCUAUACCUAGCUUGGAGCAUUGCAUCCAGCAGAUGCUCAAUAAAUAUUUGUCUAUCACUUGCUAAGUGUCUCUGGAAGUGCAUACGCAGCACUCAGUUCAAUAAGGUAAACAGGCACAGUAACACUAAUAAAUUUCGGAUUAUACUAUUAAAACUUCGGAGCACACGAAAAAAUUUCAACUUUUCUCUGAUUUUUUAGUAUAGACAAAACAUCUCAAGUUAAUACCUUGUCCCUGGAAAAUUAUGUCCUUUUGCUUUAAUCUCAUAUAAUGCCUGCAUAAUAUAGAGAUGAAGUUGGUGAAUACUUAAUAAAUGCUAUAGAGGGCUUUCCACUGCUCUAAUUCUUUGUCCUCUUCAGCAUCUCUAUGGAUUUAGCUAUUUCACUUGGUUGUUCUCUUGGUUUAAUAUUAGCCCCUGAAUUCUAGGAACCUGGUACGAAUUUCCUAAGGAACUCUACUGGAAGAUACUUUAAAUGACACAUCACCACAUUCUACUGAAAAGUACCCCUCUUUGCCCCUGGACCAUCUUCAGGAACUUUUACCCUCUUCCAUGGGGUGAAUUACUUCUCAAGCUGGCACAUUGUCUAGAAAGGUAUUGAUGAGCAUGCUUGUCAAAUCAAGAGCCACUUCUCAGUCCCGAAAUAUCUAGUCAUUCUCUCUGCCAUGGGACCCACUAGGUUCCAUGCAAUUAAAAUUCAGACUUGAAUUGUCUUUAAUGAUUAUAAUAUUGAUGCUAUCCAAAUUAAAUACAAGUGAUAAGAAAUAAAUAUAGAUCCAUAGAUCAUGUUUAUAGGUCUUUUUUUAUCUAGGGCUAAAGUUUUACCUAUUUACUAAGUGGUGGUGUUUUGGGGUUUGGAAUAUAUAUAAGUUUUUCAGCCAUGCCAUGUAAUCUGAAAAGAUGUCUAUGUGUGAUGAGAGGAAAACACCCACAAGAAUCACAUCUGCUCUUGCACCUGAUUUAAGUAAUACUUACUACCUGUAUGUGAUUAUAUGGAUAGCAAGAUACGUUUGGAUCUGCACAUCAGACAGGAUUUUUAUAAACAGUUACUGCUAACAGAAGUGCUCCAGUGUUUCUUUCUGAACUGUGUAAUACAAGAGAAAUUCAAGAAUAUGUCUUGCUUCUCUUUUCGUCAUAUCAUCUUUCAGAGGUUUCAAAUUAACCACGGUUAGUAAUGAGAGUGGUUUGUUUAUGUAUUAGCACAUGUGUACUAAUUCAGAAUGAUAUAAAGAUGAACACAUAUUAUGAUUUGUUAUUCUGGAUAUCAUUUCAUUUUCAGCCUCUAAACAUAUGGAGGUUGAAACCUGUGCUCAGGUAUAGAUUUUGUGCCUCUUUCAGAAAAAAUGUAAUCUUUGGGCAAGGUCUGAUAAUGACUUAUUUCUCUGGCUUACACCUAGGAAGUUUUCCUCCAGUUAUUUAUUUAUUUUAUUUUUUAGCUUAAUUCUUCAAUUCAUACAUAAAUAUGUUCUCAUUGCAAAAGAUGUAAACAAUACAGAUAAAUAAAAAUCCCUCUUGAUAACCCCAUCUCCAUCUCCUAAUCUUAUUCCCUUUGCUAGCAGUGACCAUGACAAGACAUUUGAUACAUAUUUUUGUUAAACUUUAAAAUACAUUUUGUAUAUAUGUUAGUAUAUGUUAAAUAUAUCAUAUAAAUGUAUCAAUAAAUAUAUCAUGACUUAGAUCAAAUCACUCCCUUGCUUGAAAUUCUCCAAUGGCUUUCCAUUUCACUUAGCAUACAAUCCAUCUACCUCCUCCUGGCCUAUAAGGCCCUUCCUGAUCUGUUCUUGCUUGCUUCUUUAACUCCUUCCUACAUUCUCCCACUUGGUCCAGGAACACUGGAUCAUUCCAUCUCUUUAAUAUGCCCUGAAUGUUCCUCCCUCACAGUACGCUCAUAAGCCCUUUUCUCUACUUGGAAUAGUCUAAACCCAACCUUUACAUGGCUGGUACCUUCUCAUCAUUGAAAUCUCAGCUGAAAUACCAUUUCUUCAGAAAGGCCUUUCCUCAGAGGUUAUUCUGGUCAUUUAGUCUCCUACCAGGUACUCUCUAGCUAAUUAUCCUGCUUGAGUAUUCACAGCACUUACUACUACUCAGAAUUACAUAUUAAAAAAAAAAAACCCCACCACGAUUAUCUGCUUUCUCUACUAGAAUAUAAGCUUCAUGAGGGCAGGGUCUUUGUUUGGCUUGUUCAUAUAUUUAUAUCUCCAGUGCCUAGGAUAGCACCUGGCACAUAAUAACUAAUUGUUAAGCAAUGAAGACUGGAAAGCAAAGAAAGUCCUGUUCACAUCAUGAUUCAUACCAAGGUUUUUAAAGUCAAGUAGAAUUGGAGGCAAGGUCUAUUGAUACCUGUGUGUAAUGAGUAAGCUAUAUAGCUUCUUUAAAUAUUCUCGUUUUUGCAAUAGCAGUAAUAAUAAUAAUAAUAAUAGAACUAGCUCAGUCAAAUUGUUGUCCAAAUAUUAACUGGGAUAUACAAGCAAAGUGACUACUCUUGUGCCUGGCAUAUAGUAUGUGCUCAAUCACGGCUAAGAGGGGAGUGAUGUGAGCAUCACAGCUGAAUAUGAAGUCCCUUGUUCGUGGCACCUCUUCCAACAAAAACAAUUUGGCAUCCAUUCAUGGAAAAAAGUGCUUUGUGGGAGCUAUGGGAUCCAGUACCAUAUGUCAAGCGACCAGGAAGAAUUCUCACCCACUCAUUUAUCAGGUGAUAGGUGCACAGACCUCAGUCCCAGCUGUAGACCUUGCAGUGACCUGUGAACUGACUCCAGCCCCUGUUGGCUGUGGUCUGGAAGCCCCUGGAAAACACUGUCUUAGACAAUCACCCACAGAUGAGAAGAGUCUUUGUUGAAGUCCAGGCUUCUAGCAGAGAAGUUCCAGGACACGUUGGAGCAAAAUACCAUGAGUUUGGAUACAUUGGAGAGGGUAAAAAGAACAGUUUGACUUUCCCUGUGUCACCCUUCCCUCAAGAUGGCACAGCUUAGGGUGAAGAGAGAUCAUCUUAUUAUUUAUAAUAAAUAAAAUCAGAAAUGAGAAAGGAGAUAUUGCAAAUGAUACCACAGGAAGACAAAGCAACAUAAGAGACUACUGUAAAUACUUAUACACCGAAAAAUGGAAUAACCUAGAAGAAAUGGACAAUUUCCUAGAAAUAUACAACCUUCCAAGACUGAGUCUUGAAGAAAUAGAA